GAGCCUAAGUCAGAUUAGCUAGUUGGUGGGGUAAAGGCCUACCAAGGCGACGAUCUGUAGCGGGUCUGAGAGGAUGAUCCGCCACACUGGGACUGAGACACGGCCCAGACUCCUACGGGAGGCAGCAGUGGGGAAUAUUGGACAAUGGGCGAAAGCCUGAUCCAGCCAUGCCGCGUGUGUGAAGAAGGCCUUUUGGUUGUAAAGCACUUUAAGCGAGGAGGAGGCUACUUAGAUUAAUACUCUAGGAUAGUGGACGUUACUCGCAGAAUAAGCACCGGCUAACUCUGUGCCAGCAGCCGCGGUAAUACAGAGGGUGCGAGCGUUAAUCGGAUUUACUGGGCGUAAAGCGUGCGUAGGCGGCUUUUUAAGUCGGAUGUGAAAUCCCUGAGCUUAACUUAGGAAUUGCAUUCGAUACUGGGAAGCUAGAGUAUGGGAGAGGAUGGUAGAAUUCCAGGUGUAGCGGUGAAAUGCGUAGAGAUCUGGAGGAAUACCGAUGGCGAAGGCAGCCAUCUGGCCUAAUACUGACGCUGAGGUACGAAAGCAUGGGGAGCAAACAGGAUUAGAUACCCUGGUAGUCCAUGCCGUAAACGAUGUCUACUAGCCGUUGGGGCCUUU
rnacentral:rRNA from 1 species